GGAGGUGUGCCCGAAACCAAGGGUUACUUUGAUAGAGUAAAACACAGAGGUUAAAAUCCUCUCACCUCCC
rnacentral:tRNA from 1 species